rnacentral:rRNA from 1 species
UACGUAGGGUGCAAGCGUUAAUCGGAAUUACUGGGCGUAAAGGGCCAGUAGGCGGCCAACUAAGUCCGACGUGAAAUCCCUAGGCUUAACCUAGGAACUGCGUCGGAUACUGGAUGGCUUGAAUUCGGGAGAGGGAUGCAGAAUUCCUGGUGUAGCGGUGAAAUGCGCAGAUAUCAGGAGGAACACCAGCGGCGAAGGCGGUGCUCUGGGCCGGAACUGACGCUGAGGAGCGAAAGCGUGGGGAGCGAACAGG